rnacentral:rRNA from 1 species
CCUACGGGAGGCAGCAGUGGGGAAUAUUGCACAAUGGGGGAAACCCUGAUGCAGCGACGCCGCGUGAGUGAAGAAGUAAUUCGUUAUGUAAAGCUCUAUCAGCAGGGAAGAAAAUGACGGUACCUGAGUAAGAAGCCCCGGCUAACUACGUGCCUGCAGCCGCGGUAAUACGUAGGGGGCAAGCGUUAUGCGGAUUUACUGGGUGGAAAGGGAGCGUAGACGGCAGUGCAAGUCUGGAGUGAAAGGCGGGGGCUCAACCCCCGGACUGCUCUGGAAACUGUACGGCUGGAGUGCAGGAGAGGUAAGUGGAAUUCCUAGUGUAGCGGUGAAAUGCGUAGAUAUUAGGAGGAACACCAGUGGCGAAGGCGGCUUACUGGACUGUAACUGACGUUGAGGCUCGAAAGCGUGGGGAGCAAACAGGAUUAGAUACCCUAGUAGUC